rnacentral:rRNA from 1 species
CUUUAUUGGAGAGUUUGAUCCUGGCUCAGGAUGAACGCUGGCGGCGUGCCUAAUACAUGCAAGUCGAGCGAAUGGAUUAAGAGCUUGCUCUUAUGAAGU